GAAAGAAGCUUGCUAACCUCUAAAGUCCAGAGAAUGAAUUGUUUGCAGAAAAAUGCCUGCAAAACCUACACUACAUCAAAAAGAUCCAGAAUGAACUUUGGGGUGUGGUUGACUGAAUUGAAGGUUGAUUGAACAUUUAUUUUGAAUGUAUAUUCUUAUACCAAAGGAGACUGCCCCCUAGUUGGUUUUUGUCAAUGUGCCCAGCAAAACAUUGGUUUUGCUAUCUCUCUCUUUGAUUUCCCUCUCAUCUCUAACGAUUGUAGUUUCCUCUUAGAAGGUGAAAUUUUGUAUGCACCUGUAGUUAGAAGAUUUUAGAGGUACAAGAUCAGUUGGGAGUCUAGUCUCCCAAUCAUCAUCAGGGGUCAUUAUGAAAUUGAGAUUAACUCCAUCCUACUUAUUCUAUAGAAUUUUAGCCACCAGGAAUGUAGACACCCCCACUUAAGGAUUAAGUGUCCGGGAGGAAGGUCUAUGAGCCAUGUGUACUAGCAAGUGAGAAAUCAGAAACAACUGGCUAACCCCCUAGGCAGUCCAAAGCCAAGUUUAACAGUAGUAGUCACAGGAAGUGACUCAAAGAACUGCCUUUAAAUUUUGCGGAACACUUCCUAUGAGGAGGUCUUCACCUUGGAACUUGACCGUGGAGGAGCUCGGGCUUGAGAUCUCAGACUGCUUCGCUUUGGGCUGCCACCUGGCACUCCAGAGCCUUGGUCCUUCUGUUGUAGGUAUGAGAAGAAGUCAUUCCAGGAAAAGGAAACAGAUUGAACAACGAAAGCCCAGGAAUGACCCAUUCCAUUGACGUACCACAAUGCUUUUAUACAUCGCUUCUUAACCACUUACAGGAUCCGUGAUUCCAGCGAUGUGGGCACUCCCCACUCUGAUAAAUGAUUCUGUGGCGGAAUAUCACUUUGCCCAUAUGCGUUCUUUUCCUUUUCUCCCUGAUCACCCGAGUUUCAGAGGGACUGGCUUGACUGCGCAUGGUUGGUGGAACUGUGAACUGGUCCAACCAUUUUGAAGAGCACCCUGAAAUUCUGGCCAAAGAGUUAUAAAACUGGGUAUACCCUUUGACCCAGAAAUAUGACCAUUAGGACUGUUUCCUAGGGUGAUCAGGGAAAGAACCUGCACAUUCUAAAAUAGUUAUAGCGGCUCUCUUUGUGGUGGCCAAGAAUUGGAAAUUGAGGGGAUGCCCAUUGAGUGGGGAAUGGUGGAAGAGGCAUGGCAUAUGACUGUGAUGGAUGCUAUUGUGCUGUAAAAAAUAACGGGAAGAUUGGCUUUAAUAAAACAUGGAAAGACUUGCA
rnacentral:lncRNA from 1 species